rnacentral:lncRNA from 1 species
CAGCUCAGCCUGCAGCAGGUUGUUGCGCCGCUCCACGAUGGCGAUGUUCUCCUUCAGGUCGUCGUUGGCACGGACCGCAUCGUCCAGCUGGAUCUGGGUGUCCUGAGCAUCAGGCUCGUUGCGGCUGCGUGUCUCUGCAUCCAGGGAGGUCUGCAGCGAGUCCACCACCCGCUGGUGGUUGCGCUUGGCCUGUUCCAUCUCCUCGUCCUUCUCUGCCAGCUUCCGCUCGAUCUCUGCCUUGAUCUGGUUGAACUCUAGCUGGGCCCGGAGGAUCUUGCCCUCCUCGUGCUCCAGGGAGGCCUGGGAAGGGAGCUAUGAAGACAAGGAGGAAAAUGAAGAGAAAAGUGUUGCCAAGGAAACAGAGGCAAUC